rnacentral:rRNA from 1 species
UAGGGAAUCUUCGGCAAUGGGGGGAACCCUGACCGAGCAACGCCGCGUGAGUGAAGAAGGUUUUCGGAUCGUAAAGCUCUGUUGUUAAGGAAGAACGAGUGUGAGAAUGGAAAGUUCAUGCUGUGACGGUACUUAACCAGAAAGGGACGGCUAACUACGUGCCAGCAGCCGCGGUAAUACGUAGGUCCCGAGCGUUGUCCGGAUUUAUUGGGCGUAAAGCGAGCGCAGGCGGUUAGAAAAGUCUGAAGUGAAAGGCAGUGGCUCAACCAUUGUAGGCUUUAGAAACUGUUUAACUUGAGUGCAGAAGGGGAGAGUGGAAUUCCAUGUGUAGCGGUGAAAUGCGUAGAUAUAUGGAGGAACACCGGUGGCGAAGGCGGCUCUCUGGUCUGUAACUGACGCUGGGGCUCGAAAGCGUGGGGAGCGAACAGG